rnacentral:rRNA from 1 species
UACGAAGGUGGCUAGCGUUGUUCGGAUUUAUUGGGCGUAAAGGGUCCGUAGGCGGUUUGAUAAGUCAGGUGUGAAAUCCCACAGCUUAACUGUGGACACGCGCCCGAUACUGUCAGACUAGAGUAUGAGAGGGGUAAGAGGAAUUUCCAGUGUAGGGGUGAAAUCCGUAGAUAUUGGAAAGAACACCGGCCGCGAAGGCGUCUUACUGG